AUGAGCGAGUAUGCAGGCCCAAUACUCAAUAGCUCGAUCCGAUCCAAGCACAUGAGUUGACUGCGGCGCCAGGUUAACCAAUGUGCUAGAUUCUAUUUGGCCAGUAGAAUCUUGUGUCUUAUGCGAUUUGAUACCAAGACACCAGAACGAAAGUUAGUUGAAGAGUUAUUAAACUCUUAUGAAGUAUGGUUGUGCAAUCACAACUUAUGACUUUAACCUAUAAAGUGGAUAUGGACUUGCAAUUAUAACAUGGGGCACACACCAUGUUCUCGAUCCAAUCCACGCACACGAGUUGCCUGAGUAGCGACAGGUAUACCGAUGUGCAAUACGUAUCCGGCCAUAGGCACGGAACGAACAGGAACUGUGGUGCAGACAUACAAGGGCCAUGGGGCGGUACGCAAAGGAUACGGAUGAGCGAGUAUGCAGGCCCAAUACUCAAUAGCUCGAUCCGAUCCAAGCACAUGAGUUGACUGCGGCGCCAGGUUAACCGAUGUGCAAUACGUAUCCGGCCAUAGGCACGGAACGAACAGGAACUGUGGUGCAGACAUACAAGGGCCAUGGGGCGGUACGCAAAGGAUACGGAUGAGCGAGUAUGCAGGCCCAAUACUCAAUAGCUCGAUCCGAUCCAAGCACAUGAGUUGACUGCGGCGCCAGGUUAACCAAUGUGCUAGAUUCUAUUUGGCCAGUAGAAUCUUGUGUCUUACGCGAUUUGAUACCAAGACACCAGAACGAAAGUUAGUUGAAGAGUGAUUAAACUCUUAUGAAGAAUGGUUGUGCAAUCACAACUUAUGACUUUAACCUAUAAAGUGGAUAUGGACUAUCAAUUAUAACAUGGGGCACACACCAUGUUCUCGAUCCAAUCCACGCACACGAGUUGCCUGAGUAGCGACAGGUAUACCGAUGUGCAAUACGUAUCCGGCCAUAGGCACGGAACGAACAGGAACUGUGGUGCAGACAUACAAGGGCCAUGGGGCGGUACGCAAAGGAUACGGAUGAGCGAGUAUGCAGGCCCAAUACUCAAUAGCUCGAUCCGAUCCAAGCACAUGAGUUGACUGCGGCGUCAGGUUAACCGAUGUGCAAUACGUAUCCGGCCAUAGGCACGGAACGAACAGGAACUGUGGUGCAGACAUACAAGGGCCAUGGGGCGGUACGCAAAGGAUACGGAUGAGCGAGUAUGCAGGCCCAAUACUCAAUAGCUCGAUCCGAUCCAAGCACAUGAGUUGACUGCGGCGCCAGGUUAACCAAUGUGCUAGAUUCUAUUUGGCCAGUAGAAUCUUGUGUCUUACGCGAUUUGAUACCAAGACACCAGAACGAAAGUUAGUUGAAGAGUGAUUAAACUCUUAUGAAGAAUGGUUGUGCAAUCACAACUUAUGACUUUAACCUAUAAAGUGGAUAUGGACUAUCAAUUAUAACAUGGGGCACACACCAUGUUCUCGAUCCAAUCCACGCACACGAGUUGCCUGAGUAGCGACAGGUAUACCGAUGUGCAAUACGUAUCCGGCCAUAGGCACGGAACGAACAGGAACUGUGGUGCAGACAUACAAGGGCCAUGGGGCGGUACGCAAAGGAUACGGAUGAGCGAGUAUGCAGGCCCAAUACUCAAUAGCUCGAUCCGAUCCAAGCACAUGAGUUGACUGCGGCGUCAGGUUAACCGAUGUGCAAUACGUAUCCGGCCAUAGGCACGGAACGAACAGGAACUGUGGUGCAGACAUACAAGGGCCAUGGGGCGGUACGCAAAGGAUACGGAUGAGCGAGUAUGCAGGCCCAAUACUCAAUAGCUCGAUCCGAUCCAAGCACAUGAGUUGACUGCGGCGCCAGGUUAACCAAUGUGCUAGAUUCUAUUUGGCCAGUAGAAUCUUGUGUCUUACGCGAUUUGAUACCAAGACACCAGAACGAAAGUUAGUUGAAGAGUGAUUAAACUCUUAUGAAGAAUGGUUGUGCAAUCACAACUUAUGACUUUAACCUAUAAAGUGGAUAUGGACUAUCAAUUAUAACAUGGGGCACACACCAUGUUCUCGAUCCAAUCCACGCACACGAGUUGCCUGAGUAGCGACAGGUAUACCGAUGUGCAAUACGUAUCCGGCCAUAGGCACGGAACGAACAGGAACUGUGGUGCAGACAUACAAGGGCCAUGGGGCGGUACGCAAAGGAUACGGAUGAGCGAGUAUGC